AAGGCCAGUGCUCGGGUCCUCACCGCAGACCCAGAUUUCCAUGAUCAGAUCUUACUUCACACUCUGCAGGCAGAACAACUGUGUCUUUAGUGCUUUUCCUCCAACCCCACAACAUGAUUAUGUGAAUUUGUUCACAUGAUAAAGGCUGUACCCUCUGUUGGCUCUUUCAAAUCUGCUGCAGCCACAGGACAUUUGCAUAGUGUCCCUAGGGAGGACCUUCCCUUGCAAGUCUGAGAUAAAAGGUCACCUCUAAAAUGGUCUUGACUUAUGAGAGCUCAUCAGUUCAACUUCACAAAAUGAAAUUCCCUGCUCAGCUCUUGGGGCUCUUCAUGCUCUGGAUCCCAGGAUCCAGUGGGGAUAUUGUGAUGACACAGAGCCCUCUGACCCUGCCCAUCACCCCUGGACAGCCAGCCUCCGUCUCCUGCAGGGCCAGUCAGAGCCUCCUGCACAGUAAUAGAAUCAACUAUUUAAAUUGGUACCAGCAGAAGCCGGGCCAGUCUCCACAGCUCCUCAUCUAUACGGCUUCCAACUGGGCCUCUGGGGUCCCUGACAGGUUCAGUGGCAGUGGGUCAGGGACAGAUUUCACCCUGAGAAUCAGCAGGGUGGAGGCUGAGGACGUCGGGUUUUAUUACUGCCAGCAAGCUCUACAAACUCCUCCCAGGGUGAUUAAACGUUGAACGAAAACCUGCCUGGCUGGGGAUUUCAACUGCCCCAAAGUGUUGCUUGUCUGGGUGGCCCACAGCAGGUCGUCCGAGUGUGUGUAAGUGGAAGACGUUGGACACCCCAGGGGACUAGAUCG